rnacentral:rRNA from 1 species
UACGUAGGGUGCGAGCGUUAAUCGGAAUUACUGGGCGUAAAGGGCGCGCAGGCGGCGGAUCAAGUCAGACGUGAAAGCCCCGGGCUUAACCUGGGAACUGCGUUUGGGACUGGUUUGCUAGAGAUCGGGAGAGGAGAGUGGAAUUCCCAGUGUAGAGGUGAAAUUCGUAGAUAUUGGGAAGAACACCGGUGGCGAAGGCGGCUCUCUGGACCGAUACUGACGCUGAGGCGCGAAAGCGUGGGGAGCAAACAGG